GCCUUAGCAAAGGGACUGCUUUGCCAGGCUACCGUCACAUAGCACUCCUGUCUCCCGUUUGACUUCAUAUAGUGAAAAUUGUCUAAAAGAUAAGGCAGGAGCUCUGGUUGACACCCCCCCUGCCCCCGCCUCAUAGAUCUCUCUCUAGAAGCAUUGGAAGAGGCCGUCUCAAAAAAGAAAAAUAAAAUAGAAGCAUUGGAGGAAAGAUGUGGUUUGUAGUGAAACAAAUUGGAAGUCAAGCUCAGCCUCAACCACUUACUUGCUUCUGACCUUGGCAUGAAGUUGCAGAAGCUGACCUGGGUCCUAACUGUAAAAUGCAGAGGAACUCUAUCCAUGAGGAAGCUUUGUGAAGUCGAUUCAUUGCUAAUGUCCCUGUAGUGUCCACCACAGGAAACAUUACUAUUUGGGUUUUGUGACCCAGGAAUCCAUAUUUACCUGGCGGCAACGACACAGCCCUCACCUUUCCAGACCUCAUCUGGUGGCCUUGUAAUCCUGGAGCUGAAGCUGCCUACACACAAGCAAUCGGUCGCAGUGUAUCCGUGCAGGGUCCCAACCCACUCCAGGAUUCAUUUCGGGAUGGCUUCCCCUCCCUCAGCCAGGUCUCCGGCCCCGUUGCUCUGCAUGCUUGCCCAUCUCCAUCUCCACGGCGAUCAUGUGUUUGCAGGGAGCCAUCAAUAUCCUCUUCUCUUACGCUUUCUGAAUGGGAGAGUCAAUCUCAAUGGGAAGCUAGCAGGGACUUGGGUGGACAGGUGUCUCACGCUGGAUGGGCGAAUCCAGGUGGGAGGGAGGGUGGGCUUGCUGUCAUUUGUUGGUGGGUCAUGGGAUUUGCUAUGAAGCUGGAGGGAAAAUCUGGACCCCUGAAGAGGGGUCCCUUCCCUUCCUAAGGGAAGGCCUCAGCUCCAAGACUGCAGGAGGAGCUGGGUAGCCAUUGGAUAUGGCUAACGCACAUGAAUCAUGACCAGGGUGCACUGUUUGGACAGCAAGUCAGUGGCCCAAGGAGAGAGAGGUUAGUGAUGGGAAGCGUCCUGAGACUCACUGAUGCAUCUUUACAUUUUUCUCUUUAAGCAUUAGGAAGAGGCCGGGUGCCGUGGCUCACACCUGUAGUGCCAGCGCUUUGGAAGGCUAAGAUGGGCAGACUGCUUGAACUCAGGAGUUUGAGACCAGCCUGGGCAAUGUGUCAAGACCCCAUCUCUACAAGAAA
ensembl:lncRNA LINC03107 long intergenic non-protein coding RNA 3107